UGCACAGAAUAUGCCAACAGUAGAGCAGCUGCAUUCCCUUUUCUGCUGGUGUCUCUCUCUUUUGGCUUUUUUAUUCUGUUGUGUCUCCACCAUGUUGGGAUGGCUACUUCUACAGACUUUGCUGGUCCUUUGGCUGGCGCAUAGUGCGCACCUGAAGAACAAUGGAAAUGGUGGGGGUGUUGGAAGAAUGUUGAUGCCAUCCAAUGGAUAUGGAUACAAGGGAAAUGGUUACAGUGCUGGAGCCGGAGUGCCCAAUGGAAACGGUGCCAAACCCAAUGGUUAUGGUGCUCCUGCAGCUAUGUCCAAUGGAAAUGGUGCUAAACUCAAUGGUAAUUAUGGUGCUCCUGCAGCUGUGCCUAAUGGAAAUGGUGCUAAACCCAAUGGAUAUGGUGCUCCAGCUGCUGUACCCUAUGGUCAAAGGUCAAAAGGCUAUAGAGCUCCAGCUGCUGUACCCAAUGGAAAUGGUCAAAAAUCAAAAGGUAAAUCAUUUUUUCCCCUUGAGUAUCACUUUAGUGUUUUAGUAAUUAUAUUGGUAUUCAGAGGUUCAGUAAGUGGCACAAGUACCAUUUGGUUUAUUUGA
rnacentral:lncRNA from 1 species